CCCAGAUAAUACCCACACACAGAGUGUCCCCAGAUAAUACCCACACACAGACUUCCCCUAGAUAAUACCCACACACGGAGUGCCCCCAGAUAAUACCCACAUACAGUGUGCCCCCAGAUAAUACCCACACACAGACUUCCCCUAGAUAAUACCCACACACGGAGUGCCCCUAGAUAAUACCCACACACAGAGUGCCCCCAGAUAAUACCCACAUACAGAGUGCUCCCAGAUAAUACCCACAUACAGCGUGCCCCCAGAUAAUACCCACACACAGAGUGCCCCUAGAUAAUACCCACAUACAGAGUGCCCCCAGAUAAUACCCACAUACAAACUUCCCCUAGAUAAUACCCACAUACAGAGUGCCCCUAGAUAAUAUCCACAUGCAGUGUGCCCCCAGAUAAUACCCACAUACAGAGUGC